GAUGAACGCUAGCGGCAGGCCUAAUUACAUGCAAGUCGAACGGCAAGAGUUUUAGCAAUAGAACUCCUAGAGUGGCGAACGGGUGCGUAAACGUGUAUGCAACCUACCCUAUACAGGGGGAUAGCCCGGAGAAAUCUGGAUUAAUACCCCAUGGUACUAAGUUGAGGCAUUUUUGAUUUAGUUAAAGAUUAAUCGGUAUAGGAUGGGCAUGCGUCUGAUUAGCUAGUUGGCGGUGUAACGGACCACCAAGGCGACGAUCAGUAGGGGUUCUGAGAGGAAGGUCCCCCACACUGGCACUGAGAUACGGGCCAGACUCCUACGGGAGGCAGCAGUAGGGAAUAUUGGGCAAUGGACGAGAGUCUGACCCAGCCAUGCCGCGUGCAGGAAGACGGCGUUCUGCGUUGUAAACUGCUUUUAUCUGGGAAGAAAAGUCCAUGCGUGGAAAAUUGCCGGUACCAGAUGAAUAAGCACCGGCUAAACUCCGUGCCAGCAGCCGCCGCAGUAA
rnacentral:rRNA from 1 species